rnacentral:rRNA from 1 species
AAAGACUGCUAAUACCGCAUAAGCGCACAGGACCGCAUGGUCCGGUGUGAAAAACUCCGGUGGUACAGGAUGGACCCGCGUCCGAUUAGGUAGUUGGCGGGGUAACGGCCCACCAAGCCGACGAUCAGUAGCCGACCUGAGAGGGUUACCGGCCACAUUGGGACCUAGACACGGCCCAAACUCAUACGGGAGGCAGCAUUGGGGCAUACUUGCACAAUGGGGGAAACCCUGAUGCAGCGACGCCGCGUGAGUGAAAAAGUAUUUCGGUAUCUAAAGCUCUAUCAACAGGGAAGAAAAUGAAAAAAAAAAACUUUGAAGCCCCGGCUAAGGACGAAACAGCAGCCGCGGUAAUACGUAGGGGGCAAGCGUUAUCCGGAUUUACUGGGUGUAAAGGGAGCGUAGACGGCAGAGCAAGUCUGAAGUGAAAGCCCGCGGCCCAACUGCGGGACUGCUUUGGAAACUGCCCGGCUAGAGUGCUGGAGAGGUAAGCGGAAUUCCUAGUGUAGCGGUGAAAUGCGUA